GGUGGCUCGGCAGACGGUGCCCCGACGGCUCUGCCCUGUCGCGCCCAGGCUCCCCUGCAGACUCACCUCACACCCUGCCUGGAGGAGGCCGCUUUGUGGGUGACAACGUAGAAGACACCUGCCCCGUAUCCCGUGUGGGAAAGGCCGGCACGUGGUCGCAGCCGUGGCUUGCCGUGGUGUCGCAGGGCAGCGAGCUCCGCAAGGCCAGCUGGUCCACUGCAAACUCGUAGGCCUGGACCAGCCCCUGGUGUCUAGGGAGAGCACAGAGACGGCCCUCAGCCCCGAGCUCCUGCCGCAGGUCACCGAGCAGCUGUCUUGGGCCUCAGUGUGCCGGGCACUCCGGGUCCUGCACCAGAGGCACACCGCAGCCCAACCCGCUGACCUCCUGUGCGUGGUGAAGUUGUCCAGGUCGGCGCCGCGCACCACCCUCUCGGAGGGCACGUUGGCCGUGAUGAGGCUGUGGCUGUCGAAGGCGAUGUGGCGGACGGGGUGCCUGGAACACAGGGGAGGGCGCUCGCACAGAAAAGGACUCACAGUGAGCUACCUGCAGACGCUCUGAAAGAGCGCGGUGCAGCACCCUGCCGAGGGGGCAGCACGCAGGCCACGCAGUGACGAGAGGGACAAACGCUGCCCGUGGCGCAGCGGACAGACGGCGCAAGUGCGACCUGGCGCGUCUGCUGGGUCGGUGGGGGCGCACAGGACAGACUGCGCUGUUCAGGAGCUUCGGACAGACCACGACCACAGAGCGAAACCUGACUGUUCGCUACACAAAGCCACGUCUGCAGGUGACAGGGACGCGGCGGUCGCUUCAGUACCAGAAAGGGGGGUUCAGAGCAUUCAGAAAACUUGCCAGGAAAAGAAUGAAAACCUAUUGGACCUAAUGUUUAAAUUUGGUUUCUUUGGUCAUUAUCAGCUAUUCAGGCUUCCUUUUUAAUUUUUCCUUCAAAUGUCCAAAUUUGAAGAUUUCGAUGAAUACUUUCUGGGAAAAUAACUUACCAAAUCUGCCACCCCAGAGAGAGAGAAAGUAGCAAAGAGCACGCUGGGGCAGCUGUCAGGGGGCCCCGGGUGCAGCCUGGAAGCAGCAGCCGGGCCGGGCUGUGGCCCCCAGGAGCAGGGGCAACCGUCCUGCGGACAAGCAGGGCCCACCUGGCACGUCCCUUGGUGUACAGCCCCAGACUGUUGCAGCAAACGGGGGAGCACACAGUCACCUCGGUGGGUGCUGAAACGAGACUUGACGAGCUACAGCACAGUUCUAAUGAAAAGUCUUUGAGAAACAGUGCCCCACACUUUUACCACUAUCCACGCUGUUUUCAGAAAAUCAGAUAAAGAAAAUGAGAGGUGGGUAGACUUCUCAUUAGAGACGACACUCCAAGACAAUUCAUUGAUAAUUCAGAAUCAAGUGCAAAUUAAUGUCAAAAUCAAUAGCUAUAUCUUAUGUACCAACAACCACUAGUUUAAAAAAUGUAAUCACAGAUCCCACUGACAACAGCAAUUAAAAGCAAAAUACCCUAUCACGACUUUCUCAUCUGAGAGCUCUGCCAUAUAUAAUACAUUGCACCAAAAUAAAUUAGAGGGCUUACGGAGUCAAACAUAAUUAAGCUCUAGAUGUUCAGAACAGGGACGGCCUUUCUACACAGAAGAAACCCAGAAGUCAGACAUCGGUAACUGGGGAAACGCUGGUGACAGAGAGGACAGGCCGGUUCCUCCGAGUUCACAGGAGAGACUGCCAACCCAACAUUAAAUGAGAGAAGAGGAAAAACAGUUCACAGAGAAGAAACACUGAUGGCUUUUGCACACGUGUAAGUUGUUCAAGUGCAUGUGCGAUGGGAGAAACUAAGAAACAAACCUGAAGUGCAGUGCCCGCUGGUCCCCUGCCCACCCAGCACAGGGAUCUGGCAGAACGCUGAGGCCCCCUGCUGGUGAGGCCUGGUAGGCAGGUGCUUACGUGAGGCCGCUGGUUUGGUAACAUCCAACAAAAUGAGAAACACACCUCACUUUGCACCUAGCGAGUCUGCUUCUAGGAAUUUAUCUAGGCACAUGUAAUACAGGUGUACAAGUGCACAUACACACACAUGCAAGGCCAUUAGGCACAGCACUUUUUGGCAGCAAAAAGUGGGGCUUCUUGUUUCAACUCACUGACCCUCUCACUGAAAGUCGCUGGACACUGCCGGAUGCACUGAACGGACAUCCUGUCGGCAGCACCACUGUGCGUGUCAGUGGCUGGCAUCCUGCUUUAAAAAUGCCGGAUAGCCCUGGCUGGGGUAGCUCAGUGGAUUGAGCACCGG